rnacentral:lncRNA from 1 species
CACGUUUCCAAGGGCAUGGGCCAGCCACUGGACAGGCCCUCUUUGGCAUUUUGGAUGAGGGAUACUCCACCUGCACUGUUACUCACUGGAGAGCGUCUGAGUGACCCACAGACCCACACCCCUUCUUACCCACCUCAUCUGCGGGGAGCCGGACCAGGACAUGUAGAGCAAGAUGAGGAAGAGCAGCACCACGAAGGCAGCCAGGCUCACCCAGAAUGCGAUCACGAUGGAAUCUGCGGGAGGAGGAGAUGCAUCUCAGCGCUGGGUUAUGUCAACAUAAAGCAAGGCUGAGGGAGAACCAUGUGACAAGGUUCUGGCCAAUGAGAUAUGA